rnacentral:rRNA from 1 species
CCUACGGGAGGCAGCAGUGAGGAAUAUUGGUCAAUGGACGAGAGUCUGAACCAGCCAAGUAGCGUGAAGGAUGACUGCCCGAUGGGUUGUAAACUUCUGUUAUAUGGGAAUAAAACAGGGUAUGCAUACCCUCUUGUAUGUACCAUAUGAAUAAGGAGCGGCUAACUCCGUGCCAGCAGCCGCGGUAAUACGGAGGAUCCGAGCGUUAUCCGGAUUUAUUGGGUUUAAAGGGAGCGUAGGUGGAUUGUUAAGUCAGUUGUGAAAGUUUGCGGCUCAACCGUAAAAUUGCAGUUGAAACUGGCAGUCUUGCGUACAGUAGAGGUGGGCGUCAUUCGUGGUGUCGCGGUGUCAUGCUUAGCUAUCAC